UACGUAGGGUACGAGCGUUAAUCGGAAUUACUGGGCGUAAAGCGUGCGCAGGCGGUUUUGUAAGCCAGAUGUGAAAUCCCCGGGCUCAACCUGGGAAUGGCAUUUGGGACUGCAAGGCUUGAGUGCGGCAGAGGAGACUGGAAUUCCUGGUGUAGCAGUGAAAUGCGUAGAUAUCAGGAGGAAUACCGAUGGCGAAGGCAGGUCUCUGGGCUGACACUGACGCUCAUGCACGAAAGCGUGGGGAGCAAACAGG
rnacentral:rRNA from 1 species